UCUUGUCGUAUGCUAUCUCAUCUUUUUAUAGACACAAAAAUCUUUACAAAAUUUUAUUUUCAGUUUCUGUUUUUUUUUUUUUUUUCUAUCAUUUGCAGCUCAACUUUAUAAUUUAAAAAAAAAAUUUACUUGUCGUUUUUAAUCUACUGAGGAAAUAUUACUACAUAUCUUUUAAAAAAAAAAAAUACUUGUCGUUUUUUGUUGAACUUAAUGGUUUACUAAUCAACCUAUUCGUUUUCUUUUACCCUUUUGUCUUUCAUAUAUUAUUGGGUUAUUUUAACGAGAGUGUGUACAAAUACUUUCGUCAUAAAAAAUCUUUCUAUUUACACUCGAGAUGUCAAGCAAUCUAGAAUUCUCCAAGCUCAUCUUUUGGACUUCUCUCUCACUUACCCUUCUACUUCACAUCGGGAAUGGAGAAAGGUGUGAAAGAAAUGGUCCGAGUGUAAAGCAAACCCAAACCGGGUUCAAGAAGCCACCCACGUACACUGUUGAGGUCAAAAACACCUGCCCGACGUGCCCGGUGAUUGAUGUUCAUGUAGAAUGUGGAAACUUUUCACAAGGUCUAGUGAACCCUAUGAUUUUCAGAGUGUUGGGUCGAAACGAUUGUGUUCUUAACAAUGGUUCACCAUUGGAGCCUCUUGAAGAGAUGUCUUUUAAAUACUCUCAUAUCAUGUAUGCAUUGAAGCCUUCCACUUGGUAUUAUCAAUGUGAGUAAUUAAGAGUUGUUCAAUGUAUGUCAAGUAUUUUGAGAUAAUGUCAUAAAAGAUUUGUUCCAUCUACUUAAUCCUUUUUUUCAGAUGUUGUUUAAAUCAUUAUUUCAAAUGAAAAAAGUUCAUUUUAUUUCUCCA